rnacentral:piRNA from 1 species
UGUCGCACAGGGCAUCGCCAACGAGG